UAGACCUGAGGGUCUCAUUUGUUUGUUGGUAGACGAGGGUUCGAGAAACCCUAGCCGCCUCUCUUCCAUUUUCUCUCUCAUCGUCACCUUAGAUGGCCAAGAAUAGCAAAUCUGCAUAUGUUUUUGCUUUAAGCAGGCCUUGUAUGGCCGAUUUUGGCAACGCAUUAAUUGGAGCUUUCUCUCUCCACUGUAGAACAACCCAAACACGUAUAACCCUUCUUUACAUGGUAUAACCUUUCUUUCUUCUUACUUUUCUGCAUUUUUUGGGUCAAUGAAGGACGAAACCUUAAUGGUUUUUGUCCGUUUACCGUCGAUUUCUAUUGGCUUGGGUCGAAACACAUGGAUUCGCGUUGAAUCCCUCUGGAAAUCAAUUGUCCCACAUUGAUAGUUUUCCAAGUUUUAGGAGUUCUGGGUUUUAUAUAAAGAACCCAUCCUUCACACAUACACACAGAUCUCAUAAAUUCAGAGCAAAAGAUACAUUUGGUAUACCUAAGGAUCUAGCAAGUUUGCUAGAACCUGUAAUUUACUAAGUUUUUCUUUGUUUUAAAAAUUUGCUUUCUUGUUUGUGGCUGAGUUUUGAGGAGGAGCAAGGAUCUCAACUCCAAAUCUCGACAAAUGUUGCGCACAACAAAAAUUGUGAUCCAGAGACUGCUACUCGACCUCAUAUCUAGCGUUGAGGCCGUUUGCUAAUAGAUUUAGGGUGAGCCAGGCCGUACGAAGAUCUUUUUUUAUUAAUGUCUAUUUCCGUUCCAGACAUUGAUGGUUAUUUAUUUUAGACAGCUUACAUUCUUUAGACAUGUUUUGGAUUAAAGUCCUUGUACGACAACUUUUGGAUUUUGGGGUUGUAAUAGUUAGGAUUUUCGCAUUUACUUCCUUAUUUUAUGGCAUGACUAAAUUUUGAUUUA